AAAAGUAUUUUAGCUUUAAAGGUUAUUAUAAAGUUUUAUUUUGUAUGUAAAUUUUAGUGUGAGUAAGUUAUUUGUAUCUUAGAUAGAUAUAAGUAUAGGUAGAAACACAACAAGGAGAAUUUAAAUAUUUAGUAAUUUAAGAAACAGUAAAUAUUUUUAGUAUAUGCUAAUUUUGUGCCAGCUGCUGCGGUUAAACCUAAUAUGCAAUAGUAACCUGUUAGCACUAGUCAAUAUGAUGUUUUGGAUAUAAUAGUUAUUUUAUUAAGUGAAAUUUUUAAAAUCGUGUGAAAUCUGAAUGUAUAAUAUAAGACUAUGAAAUUUUUAUUAAAAACUAGGAUUAGAUACCCUAUUAUUGAAAAUGUAAAUUGGAAUGCUGAGUGAGUAAAAGUUUAUGUUCUCGAAAAUUAAAAAAAUUGGCGGUACUUUAGUCUGUUUAGAGGAACUUGUCCUGUGAUCGAUAGCCCACGUUUUUAUCUACUUAUCUUAAAUAGUUUAUAUGUCGCCGUAGAUUGAAUGUUUUUAAAGAAGAAAAAUAUUCAAAAUGUUUAUUUUAAAAUAAAGACAGGUCAAGAUAUAGCUUAUAGAUAAGAAGAGAUGAGUUACAAUAAAUAUAUUUAUUACGGAUAAUUUUUUUUUGUAAGAGAAUUUUGAAGGUGGAUUUAACAGUAAUUUUAUAUAAAUAUGUAAGAUGAUUUUAGCUCUAAAGUAUGCACAUAUCGCCCGUCACUUCCAUUUCAAGGUGGAAUAAGUCGUAACAUAGUAAAGGUACCGGAAGGUGUCUUUAGAAAC
rnacentral:ncRNA from 1 species